AUAUUCUGGUUUCUCUUCAGUAUGUAAAAAUCUUUUUUCUUUUACUAAAUAUUUCCAUGAAGAACAAUUCUGAGUUUUCAACCAAUUUUUGCUUAGGAAGGGCUGAUCUUAUCA